rnacentral:rRNA from 1 species
GGACUACUCGGGUAUCUAAUCCUGUUUGCUCCCCUUGCUCUCGCGCCUCAGCGUCAGGUCUAAGCUAGAAAACCGCUUUCGCCACAGGUGUUCUUCCACAUAUCUACGCAUUUCACCGCUACACGUGGAAUUCCAUUUUCUCCGCCAAUCCUCUAGACACACAGUUUCAAAUGCAGCUCCGAAGUUGAGCUCCGGAAUUUCACAUCUGACUUACAUGUCCGCCUACGCGCCCUUUACGCCCAAUAAAUCCGAUUAAUGCUUGCACCCUCCGUAUUACCGCGGCUGCUGGCAC